GGUAGGGUGUCCGAGUGGUUUAAGGAACUGGUCUUGAAAACCAGCGUGCCCGAAAGGGUACCGUGGGUUCGAAUCCCACCCCUACCG
rnacentral:tRNA from 1 species